rnacentral:rRNA from 1 species
CCUACGGGAGGCAGCAGUGGGGAAUAUUGGACAAUGGGCGAAAGCCUGAUCCAGCCAUGCCGCGUGUGUGAAGAAGGCCUUCGGGUUGUAAAGCACUUUCAGUGGGGAAGAAAGCCUUGGGGCUAAUACCCUCGAGGAAGGACAUCACCCACAGAAGAAGCACCGGCUAACUCCGUGCCAGCAGCCGCGGUAAUACGGAGGGUGCGAGCGUUAAUCGGAAUUACUGGGCGUAAAGCGCGCGUAGGCGGUCUGAUAAGCCGGUUGUGAAAGCCCCGGGCUCAACCUGGGAACGGCAUCCGGAACUGUCAGGCUAGAGUGCAGGAGAGGAAGGUAGAAUUCCCGGUGUAGCGGUGAAAUGCGUAGAGAUCGGGAGGAAUACCAGUCGCGAAGGCGGCCUUCUGGACUGACACUGACGCUGAGGUGCGAAAGCGUGGGUAGCAAACAGGAUUAGAUACCCCAUGUAGUC